rnacentral:lncRNA from 1 species
UCCGCCGGGCAUCGUCCAGUGUUCCUCCCCUCUUUGUCCUGGCUUCAGGAAGUGCCGCUGCGGUGCAUCCGGACCGGGGUGUGUGCAUGCUGUCAUUCUCGCAACCUGAAAGUCGCAUCCUGGAGACAGGACGGCGGCGACCGAACCCCUCAAGCAUGGCUCCGUUCUUCGGCCCCCUGGCAGACCAGGUGGAUGUCUGCCGCCUCAUCGAGAUCUGAACGUGCCUUGACUCUAGCAACCUCAUAUCCGCCAAUGGUAUCGAUGCAAUAGCGAACAGAAAUCUGGAUAUGUCGAACGCUUUCGGGUAGUUGAGCGUCAUAGUUCCACGACACCGCCGAGCGGCCCGCUUUCAGUUGCGCUAUAACACACAAUCUAUCACAGUUCAUGAAGAACAAGACGAAGAAAAAGAAGAAAACCGUGAGUAAGGGCCAUCAGAGGAAAACUGGCACAAAGAACUAGAUGGAGGCACAGUGCAGGAGCUGCCAGACGUCUGUAAUCUCGCGAGGGGCGGCGUCUGGUGCGUAACGAGGGUUGGUUUAACUCUACACAGACGUCCGGGAGCCGACACCGUGCUGAAAGCAAAGUAUGAACGCAUUUCUUCACUCAAGAAACGCUCGGGUAAGUUGCAAUGCGUGUGCACGGCGCUAGCGAGUGGACCAGUGAAAAAGGAGAGCCUAUGGUUGAUGUGCGCUACCCGCUGGUUUCAGGAGUGGACGUCCGCUCUAUUUACGAGAAGCGAUUGAUUUCUUUCCUUUCACUGCGUGUUGUGAAAUACCGCAGAAGUAUGCCCAGUGGACUGCAACUUGGAAAUAAGAAAAAUUAGCGCAACUUGCACUAAGCCGCGCAAGGCUGGAUCCCAGCAGAGCUGGAGGGCACGUUUCGGCUUCUCUUGUUGACCAUGUGUACAGAAUGCUUGGGAGGGGAUUGAGCGCGUGCCGGUUCAUGAUGAUGAUAAAUUUAUAUGUAGGACACACGGAAAACCUCAGCUCUGCUGUAAAAAGCGAAA